UUAUAAUGCAGAGCUCUGUCUUUAUUGACUUUCAGACUAAAGUGACUUUCUGUUGGACUCCUCUUCUCCUCAUACAAACACAGAGGCCCACUCACAAAGUAGUACUGACUCCAUCCAGAUUACAUGAAUAGUAAAUAUCUUCCCCUAAUGUAUGGGUAUGCAAAAACGUCUCCUGUUUUGUUUAACCCCAAACCUUCCAUUUCAUACUAAGCAAUCACAGGGAGUGAGAGACAAUGGGCUUGUUAUGAAUUAACAUUAAGUAAUCAUGAAAGGAAUGGAAUGUUCCAUCCUUUGUCAGAAGCCCUGGUGUGGAUGUUGUUCAAUUAGUGCUAAAGCAUAGAAAGACUAGCUGAUUGUAUCAGUAAUCAAAGAAAGAAAAUAGAGACACAGUUAAAUGAAGGCACGAGUCAGGGUCAAAUAUGUUGAGCAGAAAGCUGUAGUGGGUCUUUGAUCAUGGUGAGAUUCACAGCGAUAUCAAACAGUUGGUUCUCAUGUAACAGCUAAAUGUUUCAGAUUUUGUUUUUUAUUAAAUUUGACAUUUCACACUGAGAUCUGUAUUCCUAGCGAGUAGAACACAGCUCCUGUGUUCAGAGGGAUUCCGUUCCACAAUUGACAAAUAGAUAUUUCAGGACAUGGGCCACCAAGUGUACUCCGUUCCCAGUGUCCUCCCGUUCUGAACUGUGCAGUUAUCGGUUACAUUUUCUAAUAGAUAUUUGUGUAAAAGUGUAUGUAAGCUUGUGCAGUUAUUUUAAAAAGCAGUUUUGGAAAACAGUGUAUUUAUUAAAGAAAAAAUCACUUAUGGGGCAUGUACAAAACUGUAAAAAAAAUUAAAAAUCACUUCAAUUUGCCCAG
rnacentral:lncRNA from 1 species